rnacentral:rRNA from 1 species
UACGUAGGGUGCAAGCGUUAAUCGGAAUUACUGGGCGUAAAGCGUGCGCAGGCGGUUUUGUAAGACAGGCGUGAAAUCCCCGGGCUCAACCUGGGAAUGGCGCUUGUGACUGCAAAGCUGGAGUGCGGCAGAGGGGGAUGGAAUUCCGCGUGUAGCAGUGAAAUGCGUAGAAAUGCGGAGGAACACCGAUAGCGAAGGCAAUCCCCUGGGCCUGCACUGUCGCUCAUGCACGAAAGCGUGGGGAGCAAACAGG